GUGGGUCUGAAGUGCUGGAAUGCUCGGGAUGUCAAUGGCUGUCAGAUGUCAGGAUAGCCUAGAAGAUAAAUGAAUGGUUGCGACCCUGUGCCUCCUCCCAGAGUUCUCAGCUGCUGGGCUGUGGCAUUGGUAUGUUUACUUUCCGUGCCUCCUUCAACGGUCACCCUGAAGCCAAUCUUAAAAUCCUGUGACUGGGCAAGCAAGCUCUUCUAGACGUCGUUUGUACAACUCUACGGAAUGCAGUCAAUACCACCAUAAAGUCCACUUGUUUCAUGUCAUCCAGUUACGUCCUGCUGAUAUGGAUGGGCAGGUCCUGACUUUAUUUUGAAACAGAACCAGAGCAAAGCUCCGUGAUGCUGCAUGGCCACAGG
rnacentral:lncRNA from 1 species